rnacentral:rRNA from 1 species
UUAGUUGGUGGAGCGAUUUGUCUGGUUAAUUCCGAUAACGAACGAGACUCUAUUCUGCUAAAUAGUUACGCGACCCUGUCGGUCGGCGUUGUUGAACUUCUUAGAGAGACUAGUGGCGUUUAGCCACACGAGAUUGAGCAAUAACAGGU